rnacentral:rRNA from 1 species
GGGUUGUGAGGUUAAGCGACUAAGCGUACACGGUGGAUGCCCUGGCAGUCAGAGGCGAUGAAGGACGUGCUAAUCUGCGAUAAGCGUCGGUAAGGUGAUAUGAACCGUUAUAACCGGCGAUUUCCGAAUGGGGAAACCCAGUGUGAUUCGUCACACUAUCAUUAACUGAAUCCAUAGGUUAAUGAGGCGAACCGGGGGAACUGAAACAUCUAAGUACCCCGAGGAAAAGAAAUCAACCGAGAUUCCCCCAGUAGCGGCGAGCGAACGGGGAGGAGCCCAGAGCCUGAAUCAGUGUGUGUGUUAGUGGAAGCGUCUGGAAAGGCGCGCGAUACAGGGUGACAGCCCCGUACACAAAAAUGCACAUGCUGUGAGCUCGAUGAGUAGGGCGGGACACGUGGUAUCCUGUCUGAAUAUGGGGGGACCAUCCUCCAAGGCUAAAUACUCCUGACUGACCGAUAGUGAACCAGUACCGUGAGGGAAAGGCGAAAAGAACCCCGGCGAGGGGAGUGAAAAAGAACCUGAAACCGUGUACGUACAAGCAGUGGGAGCACAGAGCAAUCUGUGUGACUGCGUACCUUUUGUAUAAUGGGUCAGCGACUUAUAUUCUGUAGCAAGGUUAACCGAAUAGGGGAGCCGAAGGGAAACCGAGUCUUAACUGGGCGUUAAGUUGCAGGGUAUAGACCCGAAACCCGGUGAUCUAGCCAUGGGCAGGUUGAAGGUUGGGUAACACUAACUGGAGGACCGAACCGACUAAUGUUGAAAAAUUAGCGGAUGACUUGUGGCUGGGGGUGAAAGGCCAAUCAAACCGGGAGAUAGCUGGUUCUCCCCGAAAGCUAUUUAGGUAGCGCCUCGUGAAUUCAUCUCCGGGGGUAGAGCACUGUUUCGGCAAGGGGGUCAUCCCGACUUACCAACCCGAUGCAAACUGCGAAUACCGGAGAAUGUUAUCACGGGAGACACACGGCGGGUGCUAACGUCCGUCGUGAAGAGGGAAACAACCCAGACCGCCAGCUAAGGUCCCAAAGUCAUGGUUAAGUGGGAAACGAUGUGGGAAGGCCCAGACAGCCAGGAUGUUGGCUUAGAAGCAGCCAUCAUUUAAAGAAAGCGUAAUAGCUCACUGGUCGAGUCGGCCUGCGCGGAAGAUGUAACGGGGCUAAACCAUGCACCGAAGCUGCGGCAGCGACGCUUAUGCGUUGUUGGGUAGGGGAGCGUUCUGUAAGCCUGCGAAGGUGUGCUGUGAGGCAUGCUGGAGGUAUCAGAAGUGCGAAUGCUGACAUAAGUAACGAUAAAGCGGGUGAAAAGCCCGCUCGCCGGAAGACCAAGGGUUCCUGUCCAACGUUAAUCGGGGCAGGGUGAGUCGACCCCUAAGGCGAGGCCGAAAGGCGUAGUCGAUGGGAAACAGGUUAAUAUUCCUGUACUUGGUGUUACUGCGAAGGGGGGACGGAGAAGGCUAUGUUGGCCGGGCGACGGUUGUCCCGGUUUAAGCGUGUAGGCUGGUUUUCCAGGCAAAUCCGGAAAAUCAAGGCUGAGGCGUGAUGACGAGGCACUACGGUGCUGAAGCAACAAAUGCCCUGCUUCCAGGAAAAGCCUCUAAGCAUCAGGUAACAUCAAAUCGUACCCCAAACCGACACAGGUGGUCAGGUAGAGAAUACCAAGGCGCUUGAGAGAACUCGGGUGAAGGAACUAGGCAAAAUGGUGCCGUAACUUCGGGAGAAGGCACGCUGAUAUGUAGGUGAAGCGACUUGCUCGUGGAGCUGAAAUCAGUCGAAGAUACCAGCUGGCUGCAACUGUUUAUUAAAAACACAGCACUGUGCAAACACGAAAGUGGACGUAUACGGUGUGACGCCUGCCCGGUGCCGGAAGGUUAAUUGAUGGGGUUAGCGCAAGCGAAGCUCUUGAUCGAAGCCCCGGUAAACGGCGGCCGUAACUAUAACGGUCCUAAGGUAGCGAAAUUCCUUGUCGGGUAAGUUCCGACCUGCACGAAUGGCGUAAUGAUGGCCAGGCUGUCUCCACCCGAGACUCAGUGAAAUUGAACUCGCUGUGAAGAUGCAGUGUACCCGCGGCAAGACGGAAAGACCCCGUGAACCUUUACUAUAGCUUGACACUGAACAUUGAGCCUUGAUGUGUAGGAUAGGUGGGAGGCUUUGAAGUGUGGACGCCAGUCUGCAUGGAGCCGACCUUGAAAUACCACCCUUUAAUGUUUGAUGUUCUAACGUUGACCCGUAAUCCGGGUUGCGGACAGUGUCUGGUGGGUAGUUUGACUGGGGCGGUCUCCUCCUAAAGAGUAACGGAGGAGCACGAAGGUUGGCUAAUCCUGGUCGGACAUCAGGAGGUUAGUGCAAUGGCAUAAGCCAGCUUGACUGCGAGCGUGACGGCGCGAGCAGGUGCGAAAGCAGGUCAUAGUGAUCCGGUGGUUCUGAAUGGAAGGGCCAUCGCUCAACGGAUAAAAGGUACUCCGGGGAUAACAGGCUGAUACCGCCCAAGAGUUCAUAUCGACGGCGGUGUUUGGCACCUCGAUGUCGGCUCAUCACAUCCUGGGGCUGAAGUAGGUCCCAAGGGUAUGGCUGUUCGCCAUUUAAAGUGGUACGCGAGCUGGGUUUAGAACGUCGUGAGACAGUUCGGUCCCUAUCUGCCGUGGGCGCUGGAGAAUUGAGGGGGGCUGCUCCUAGUACGAGAGGACCGGAGUGGACGCAUCACUGGUGUUCGGGUUGUCAUGCCAAUGGCACUGCCCGGUAGCUAAAUGCGGAAGAGAUAAGUGCUGAAAGCAUCUAAGCACGAAACUUGCCCCGAGAUGAGUUCUCCCUGACUCCUUGAGAGUCCUGAAGGAACGUUGAAGACGACGACGUUGAUAGGCCGGGUGUGUAAGCGCAGCGAUGCGUUGAGCUAACCGGUACUAAUGAACCGUGAGGCUUAACCUUACAACGCCGAAGGUGUUU